CAUCUACUCCCUCCGUUCGGAAUUACUUGUCGCACAAAUGGAUGUAUCUAGACGUAUUUUAAUUCUAGAUACAUCCAUUUUCAAGACAAGUAAUUCCGAACGGAGGGAGUAGCUA
rnacentral:pre_miRNA from 1 species